rnacentral:rRNA from 1 species
GACGAACGCUGGCGGCGUGCCUAAUACAUGCAAGUUGAGCGCUGAAGGUUGGUACUUGUACCAACUGGAUGAGCAGCGAACGGGUGAGUAACGCGUGGGGAAUCUGCCUUUGAGCGGGGGACAACAUUUGGAAACGAAUGCUAAUACCGCAUAAAAACUUUAAACACAAGUUUUAAGUUUGAAAGAUGCAAUUGCAUCACUCAAAGAUGAUCCCGCGUUGUAUUAGCUAGUUGGUGAGGUAAAGGCUCACCAAGGCGAUGAUACAUAGCCGACCUGAGAGGGUGAUCGGCCACAUUGGGACUGUGACACGGCCCAAACUCCUACGGGAGGCAGCAGUAGGGAAUCUUCGGCAAUGGACGAAAGUCUGACCGAGCAACGCCGCGUGAGUGAAGAAGGGUUUCGGAUCGUAAAACUCUGUUGGUAGAGAAGAACGUUGGUGAGAGUGGAAAGCUCAUCAAGUGACGGUAACUACACAGAAAGGGACGGCCAACUACGUG